rnacentral:rRNA from 1 species
AGAACGAACGCUGGCGGCAUGCCUAAUACAUGCAAGUCGAACGAACACUUCGGUGUUAGUGGCGCACGGGUGCGUAACGCGUGGGAAUCUGCCCUUGGGUUCGGAAUAACAGUUGGAAACGACUGCUAAUACCGGAUGAUGACGAAAGUCCAAAGAUUUAUCGCCCAGGGAUGAGCCCGCGUAGGAUUAGCUAGUUGGUGAGGUAAAGGCUCACCAAGGCGACGAUCCUUAGCU